GGAAUUCGUGGAUGCCUUGGCGCAUACAGGCGAUGAAGGACGUGGCACGCUGCGAUAAGCUGCGGUGAGGUGUGAGCAACCUUUGACCCGCAGAUUUCCGAAUGGGGAAACCCACUCAUCCUGAUUAUCUAGCCUAUUGGGCUAGGUAAUUGGGACUAUGAGUAUCUCGAUACUGAAUACAUAGGUUUCGAGAAGCGAACCCGGGGAACUGAAACAUCUCAGUACCUGGAGGAAAAGACAUCAACCGAGAUUCCGUUAGUAGUGGCGAGCGAACGCGGACCAGGCCAGUGCCAUCUAUUCAACUAGCAGAACGAUCUGGAAAGUUCGGCCGUAGCGGGUGACAGCCCCGUAUGCGAAAGUGAUGUGGAUGGACUCGAGUAGGGCGGGACACGUGUAAUCCUGUCUGAACAUGGGGGGACCACCCUCCAAGCCUAAAUACUCGUAUGCG
rnacentral:rRNA from 2 species